rnacentral:tRNA from 1 species
GCCCGCGUGGUGAAAUGGUAGACACACCAGACUUAAAAUCUGUUGGCCGCAAGGCCGUGCCGGUUCAAGUCCGGCCGCGGGUACCA